AAACCUUCAAGCGUAGCUUGGUCUUGGGCGUCUUGUCUUGUUAGACUCGCCUUAAAACUAUGGGCGCUACCCUGCCAAUAUAUGGAGCACAGUAUAUUGUUGCGGCCUUAUUGAUGCAGAAGUAGUUGCCAAAAAUUUAACUAUUUUAUCUA
rnacentral:misc_RNA from 1 species